rnacentral:tRNA from 1 species
AAGAAGGGGUAGGAAUCAAUAAGAACUGCUAAUCCUUAGACACCAGGGUUAAAAUCCUUGGCCUUCUUA